GAGCAGUACUAUAUGGAGCCGAGGUUGUUCCAGCUUCUCAUGCUGUCCUGCCAGCAAGGGAUGUGGGGGGCAUAAGGAGCUGGGAGGAGAUAGAAGCAGAACUGCUGACCUAAACUAGCCAAAGGAAUACCCCAUACCAUAUGGCAUCAUGCUGAACAAUAACAGUGAGGGGAGUUUGGCAGGGUGGAGUCUGCUGCUCAGGGGCUGCCUGGGCAUCAGUUAGUGGGCGGAGUGGCAAGUUUUACAAGACUGAAAUACUGAUCAUUAGCACAACGAUCCAUGUCAGAAGCACCUCUGUUUAUCAUAAUCUCAUUUCCUUAAUGACAUAGGUUAAUUCCUGUUGAAUUGUUUCAGCAAGUACUCCACCUUCUAUUGUGUCAACGGUUUAAGGGCUGGUCCGGCCCGGUUCCGCGACUAGUGGGGCGGAGAGAUUUCACAAAAUCUGCGCCUCCAGGAAGGGAAACAGGGGACCCCAAAAUAAUUAAAAACAGCAGCAACGAUCUGAGGAGAAACAAACUAAUUUACUAAAUAUAGUAUCGGAAUGUAAGAUAACACACUAUAAUACAAUAUAAAUCAACAAUAAUUGAGAGAAAGAUUGUCUGAGAGCCAAAGGCCUUACGCUAAUACUGAAGCCUUGCGUGCAGUCGGGCGCAGCAGUAGCGAGCUGAUCCGACAGGGAACACGGCGAGACGAGAAGAGGGACAAGUCAGAUGACCUGCGCCCUUAUAUCUGUUCCCUUGAGCAGAAAUGAUAACAGUACUCAAAAAGGCUCUUGAGGAACAUAGUUCUUCAUCUCUUCCAGACAGGUACCCAGAACUAAAGCAUUUGCUCUUCAACUCCCAGUACACUGCAUGAUGUUGUGAUGUGGAAUACUGAUAACCAAAAAUCAUAAAACCAUGACAAUUGUGUAAUAUGACCA
ensembl:lncRNA